UUUCUACUCCCUCCGUCCCAAAAUUCUUGUCUUAAAUUAGUCUAAAUACAUAUGUAUCUAGUUACAUUUUAGUGUUAGAUACAUCCGUAUCUAAACAAAUGUAAGACAAGAAUUUUGGGGCGGAGGGAAUACUAC
rnacentral:pre_miRNA from 1 species